UGUGUGUGUGUGUGUGUGUGUGUGUGUGUGUGUGUGUAUAUAUAUAUACACACACACACACAACAGAACAUU